rnacentral:rRNA from 1 species
CCUACGGGAGGCAGCAGUGGGGAAUCUUGCGCAAUGGGCGAAAGCCUGACGCAGCCAUGCCGCGUGUAUGAUGAAGGUCUUAGGAUUGUAAAAUACUUUCACCGGUGAAGAUAAUGACUGUAGCCGGAGAAGAAGCCCCGGCUAACUUCGUGCCAGCAGCCGCGGUAAUACGAAGGGGGCUAGCGUUGCUCGGAAUUACUGGGCGUAAAGGGAGCGUAGGCGGACAUUUAAGUCAGGGGUGAAAUCCCGGAGCUUAACUUCGGAACUGCCUUUGAUACUGGGUGUCUUGAGUGUGAGAGAGGUAUGUGGAACUCCGAGUGUAGAGGUGAAAUUCGUAGAUAUUCGGAAGAACACCAGUGGCGAAGGCGACAUACUGGCUCAUUACUGACGCUGAGGCUCGAAAGCGUGGGGAGCAAACAGGAUUAGAUACCCUGGUAGUCCACGCCGUAAACGAUGAUUGNUAGUGUCGGAGNUGCUCUCGUGCGCAGCUACGACAUAAGUACACUCCGCCGUGGGAGGUACGGUCGCGAGAAUAAACUACAAGAGUAGUAGACGNGNGAGACGCGACGACGACGACGACGAGGGAGGAG